rnacentral:rRNA from 1 species
UACGGGGGGGGCAAGCGUUGUUCGGAAUUACUGGGCGUAAAGGGUUCGUAGGUGGCCGACUAAGUCAAACGUGGAAAUCCCUCAGCUUAACUGGGGAACUGCGUCUGAUACUGGUCGGCUUGAGUGCAGGAGAGGAACGCGGAAUUCCAGGUGUAGCGGUGAAAUGCGUAGAUAUCUGGAGGAACACCGGUGGCGAAGGCGGCGUUCUGGACUGCAACUGACACUGAUGAACGAAAGCCAGGGGAGCAAACGGG